rnacentral:rRNA from 2 species
UGGAUCCAGACUUUGAUUAUGGGCUCAGGAUGAACGCUGGCGCCGUGCCUAAUACAUGCAAGUCGAACGAAACUUCUUUAUCACCGAGUGCUUGCACUCACCGAUAAAGAGUUGAGUGGCGAACGGGUGAGUAACACGUGGGCAACCUGCCCAAAAAAGGGGGAUAACAUUUGGAAACAGGUGCUAAUACCGCAUAACCAUAGUUACCGCAUGGUAACUAUGUAAAAGGUGGCUAUGCUACCGCUUUUGGAUGGGCCCGCGGCGCAUUAGCUAGUUGGUGGGGUAAAGGCUUACCAAGGCAAUGAUGCGUAGCCGAACUGAGAGGUUGAUCGGCCACAUUGGGACUGAGACACGGCCCAAACUCCUACGGGAGGCAGCAGUAGGGAAUCUUCCACAAUGGGCGAAAGCCUGAUGGAGCAACGCCGCGUGGGUGAAGAAGGUCUUCGGAUCGUAAAACCCUGUUGUUAGAGAAGAAAGUGCGUGAGAGUAACUGUUCACGUUUCGACGGUAUCUAACCAGAAAGCCACGGCUAACUACGUGCCAGCAGCCGCGGUAAUACGUAGGUGGCAAGCGUUAUCCGGAUUUAUUGGGCGUAAAGGGAACGCAGGCGGUCUUUUAAGUCUGAUGUGAAAGCCUUCGGCCUAACCGGAGUAGUGCAUUGGAAACUGGGAGACUUGAGUGCAGAAGAGGAGAGUGGAACUCCAUGUGUAGCGGUGAAAUGCGUAGAUAUAUGGAAGAACACCAGUGGCGAAAGCGGCUCUCUGGUCUGUAACUGACGCUGAGGUUCGAAAGCGUGGGUAGCAAACAGGAUUAGAUACCCUGGUAGCCCACGCCGUAAACGAUGAAUGCUAAGUGUUGGAGGGUUUCCGCCCUUCAGUGCUGCAGCUAACGCAAUAAGCAUUCCGCCUGGGGAGUACGACCGCAAGGUUGCAACUCAAAUGAAUUGACGGA